AUCAACGCUGGCGGCGCGCUUAACACAUGCAAGUCGCACGAGAAAGCGGGAGCAAUCCCGCGAGUACAGUGGCGUACGGGUGAGUAACACGUGGGUGAUCUACCCUUUAGUGGGGAAUAACGCUGGGAAACCGGCGCUAAUACCGCAUAAGCUCGAGAGAGGAAAGCAGCAAUGCGCUGAAGGAGGAGCCCGCGGCCGAUUAGCUGGCUGGUAGGGUAAGAGCCUACCAAGGCGUAGAUCGGUAGCCGGCCUGAGAGGGCACACGGCCACACUGGCACUGAAACACGGGCCAGACUCCUACGGGAGGCAGCAGUGGGGAAUCUUGCACAAUGGGGGAAACCCUGAUGCAGCGACGCCGCGUGAGCGAUGAAGCCCUUCGGGGUGUAAAGCUCUUUCGGCAGGGACGAUGAUGACGGUACCUGCAGAAGCAGCUGCGGCUAACUACGUGCCAGCAGCCGCGGUAAUACGUAGGCAGCGAGCGUUGUUCGGAGUUACUGGGCGUAAAGGGUGUGUAGGCGGUUUUCUAAGUUUGGUGUGAAAUCUCCCGGCUCAACCGGGAGGGUGCGCCGAAAACUGGGAGACUAGAGUGCGGGAUGGGAGAGUAGAAUUCCUGGUGUAGCGGUGAAAUGCGUAGAUAUCAGGAGGAAUACCGGUGGUGUAGACGGCUCUCUGGACCGCCACUGACGCUGAGACACGAAAGCGUGGGUAGCAAACAGGAUUAGAUACCCUGGUAGUCCACGCCCUAAACGAUGCAUAUUUGGUGUAGGUCAUUCAGUUGAUCUGUGCCGGAGCUAACGCGUUAAAUAUGCCGCCUGGGGAGUACAGUCGCAAGGCUGAAACUCAAAGGAAUUGACGGGGGCCCGCACAAGCGGUGGAGCAUGUGGUUCAAUUCGACGCAACGCGAAGAACCUUACCUGGGCUCGAACGGCCGGUUAACGGCGGUGGAAACACCGCUAUCCCGCAAGGGAGUCCGGUCGAGGUGCUGCAUGGCUGUCGUCAGCUCGUGUCGUGAGAUGUUGGGUUAAGUCCCGCAACGAGCGCAACCCUUGUCCUGUAGUUGCCAUCCAGUUAAGUGGGGACUCGAAGGAGACCGCCAGUGACUAAGCCUGGAGGAAGGUGGGGAUGACGUCAAGUCAUCAUGGCCUUUAUGACAGGGCCUACACACGUGCUACAAUGGCAGGAUACAAAGGGAAGCUAAGCCGCGACGGUGGAGCCUAAUCGCCAGAAAAAUCCGGUCGUCAGUCGGAUUGCAGGCUGCAACUCGACUGCCAUGAAGUCGGAAUCGCUAGUAAUGCGCAGAUCAGACGAUUGCCGGUGAAUACGUUCCCGGGCCUUGUACACACCGCCCGUCACAUCCAUGAAAGUGGGUUGUACCAGAAGUCUGUAGGCCUGACCGCAAGGGAGGGCGGCCUACACGGUAUGACUCAUGACUGGGGUG
rnacentral:rRNA from 1 species